UUUUUCGCUGGGCCAAAAAGUUUUUAAUAAGCAGCCAACAAAUAGCUGCAACAGCAGCAGCAGCAGCUGCAACUGAAGGCCAGCUAAUGGGCAAAAACCGGGCUAGUUGCUGACUUUAAGACAAGUCCUGGCACGGAGGUCGAAAUUAAGGAGAGAGACAAAGGACACUUUCUGGAAGGGACCUGCCCGGCUGUCAAUUGUCCGCAACUUUGGGGCCGAGGCCAUCGUGUAGGAGCCAAAACCAAUGAAAUGCCGCACAACUGACACGCUGACUGACAGCCUAAGCGCUUCCACAGCAUCCAGCUUGCACAGCUCCUUGGCCAGGACGUCCGCCAGCUCCUUCCACGGAGCAAAACUUGCUUAAAAUUAAAUCAACAUAGAUAACAAACUGCUCUAUUCAAUUAGAUGGUGGUGUUUGCAUAGUGAUAACUUGUUUUAAUUGGCCAUGAUUUGAAUGAAAACUUUGAAGUAGUUUUUCCCACAGGAAUACCAACAAUAAUAAUAAUCAAUAAUGUAUCUUGAGUAUGAUUUAUCUCAGUGUGCUUCGAACUUGAGUCCUGCGGAGGCGCUCCGUCCGGCUGAGAAUGAAUGACAUGCAUGGCUGUUGUGUGCGUGAUCCAUUCAGCCCACUCGACGUUUGUUUGACGAAAUCGCAGCUGAGUGGAGGGGCCGAAAGGAAAAAGGAAACGCUGUCCUGGCACGCAACAUUUGUCCCACCACAGACCAGUUCCGUUGAUGAGGCGCAGGAGUUGUGGGGCACACACACCACUCUGUUGGCUGUCUGUCAGUUUGGCGAUGUCACUUCAACUUCGAAAGGCCGGCGGGUGGGGCAAUUGACUGUAAGUAGCCAGGAGCAGGACCUGUGGCAGGGGCAGCAACCGGAUGUUUAAACGACGAAGGACUCAGGACGCAGGACUCAGGACUCAGGACUGAGGUUUCAGCACUCGGGCGGCUGCAGCUUGCAUGGCAUUAGGAUUAGAAGUGUUUAUGCAAAUGCGAACAACUUUGAGUGAUUGCACGGCAAGCGCUUAAAAGACAGGAACUUGACUUGACAGCCACUUCUUGGCGGAAUGCCAAAGGAUGCCGAAAGGUCGCAGGAAUGGCAGCCACCUAAUGGCAUCGAGCCAUUUAAAAACAUCGGCGGCCAAAUUGAUUCGAAAUCGUUUGCAUAAACGUGGGCUGGAUGUUUGGUUAACUCAAAUUACCUUCGCUGCCUCACUGAUACCAUAAAUAAACAAUGUUGAAUUGCUGCCAAAUCUUCUACGUGCGAUGAAGUAAAACAAGGACUAAGCCCAAAAUUUGUCAGCUUAUGUAAGAUUGCCUUGAGCUUAAAACCAUUUAUAUCAUUUACCCAUGUCGGAAAAACGUUGCUAUAUAUUUUAUAAACAAACAACCAGUUCAUUGAAUUGUUUGUUGUACUGAACUCUUUAAAUGUAAACACACAGUUUUUUAUUUUAGUUUCAUAUAUCUACCAUAUCAUCAAAAUAUCUGCAUCGCACUGUCUCAAAUAAUUUCAACUGGUUGAGCUGCGCUUUUUUCCGGCCAAUUGUUAUUUUUUCGAUUCUGACCACACAAUAAAAUCGACAAUUCUGCGCUUUUGUUUGUGGUUAUCAUUUCGGGUUGAAAUUGCAAUUAAUUUCUCACACAUUUUUAAGUGAUUUUUAUGUUUUUUUCCCCGUAGCCGGCUUUAUGCACUUUUUUGUGUACUUAACCAAUGCAAUUUCCACGCCUCGUUUUAAAAUUGUUAAUUCGAUGUUCAUUUCGAAAUGGCCGUAAUUUUUUUGCGAGGGGUAAAAGGGUUUUAAGUGCCAGCCACUUUCGGUGGCAUUGUUGUAAUUAUAAAUUAAAGCCGCAGCAACCGAAGCUCCGGAAGAACCUUACGCAAUUUGCACUCUCACAAAAAAGAAGUCCAUUAAAAUUGCAAAUCAAAACGAAACCAAACCAAACGCUUGACACAGUUCACGAUAAAUGGCAGUGGCCGGGGAAGAUGGUCCAAUCUUUUCGCACAAACAACAGAUGCAGCAGCCAAACCGCAACAAUGGCAAAGUCCUUGGCAAAGUAUUUCACUUUCACGCCGCAGCCACAAGAGUCGGGACUCGAGACCCCAGGACCCCCGUUCGCCCAACAGAUUUCGAUUGGGGCAAAGUUUUGCUUUUUGCCUACUGCAACUAGUUUUUUGUUCCAGCCUUAAAGCGAAUCAAUUAAGCUGAGCCAGCCGCAAAUUGAAGAGCAAGCUGCCGUAGUGUAACUGUCGUCAAAGGGGAAAUUGAAAUUCCCAAAGGAAUAUCUCCUAUAUUGAAGAAGAUACAAAUAUUUUGUUUAAAUAGUGUCAAAUGCACAGAAAAGGUUUUCUAUACCUACAUAUAUUUGUAAUAUUACACAAUAAACGUGGCCUACAAUUAUAGGCUAAAUAUCGCAA
rnacentral:sRNA from 1 species